rnacentral:rRNA from 1 species
UACGGGGGGGGCAAGCGUUGUUCGGAAUUACUGGGCGUAAAGGGCUCGUAGGCGGCCAACUAAGUCAGACGUGAAAUCCCUCGGCUUAACCGGGGAACUGCGUCUGAUACUGGAUGGCUUGAGUUUGGGAGAGGGAUGCGAGAAUUCCAGGUGUAGCGGUGAAAUGCGUAGAUAUCUGGAGGAAUACCGGUGGCGAAGGCGGCAUCCUGGACCGGCAUUGACGCUGAGGAGCGAAAGCUAGGGGAGCAAACGGG